rnacentral:rRNA from 1 species
AUUGAACGCUGGCGGCAGGCCUAACACAUGCAAGUCGAACGGUAACAGGAAACAGCUUGCUGUUUCGCUGACGAGUGGCGGACGGGUGAGUAAUGCCUGGGAAACUGCCUGAUGGAGGGGGAUAACUACUGGAAACGGUAGCUAAUACCGCAUAACGUCGCAAGACCAAAGAGGGGGACCUUCGGGCCUCUUGCCAUCGGAUGUGCCCAGAUGGGAUUAGCUAGUAGGUGGGGUAACGGCUCACCUAGGCGACGAUCCCUAGCUGGUCUGAGAGGAUGACCAGCCACACUGGAACUGAGACACGGUCCAGACUCCUACGGGAGGCAGCAGUGGGGAAUAUUGCACAAUGGGCGCAAGCCUGAUGCAGCCAUGCCGCGUGUAUGAAGAAGGCCUUCGGGUUGUAAAGUACUUUCAGCGGGGAGGAAGGGAGUAAAGUUAAUACCUUUGCUCAUUGACGUUACCCGCAGAAGAAGCACCGGCUAACUCCGUG